AUACAGCUCAUCUCUAUCAGGGACAUUUGGGCAGGAGAUAACUAGCACAGGGUACGGAAAGUUCUGGGUGGGCUUGGAAGAUUUUUAAACCUAGAAGUAAUAAUGUAAUUAAAGCUUAAAAUCAUUGUUUUCAGUUAAGUUUUGUUUGAAUAUGCACUCUUCACUCUACAGUUGUUGUUCUGAGUACCAAGGUAUACAAGCUGUCAAUACCUGUAAAGAAAUGAGGAGGGUAUGGGCUCGGUGGUUGCUCUGUGGGUAAAGCACUUCCUACAUGAGUAUGAAAACCUGACUUUAACUCUCUUGAACCCAUAAAAAAGUCAGGUAGCCUUAACAGCUGCCUGCAAUCCCUGUACUCAGGAGGAAAAGAGGAUUCCUGGAACAAGCUGGAUAGCUAGCUACUCUAGCCAGAAAGAAAGAGAAAGAAAGAAAGAAAGAAAGAAAGAAAGAAAGAGGAAAGAAAGAAAGAAAAAGAAAAGGAGAAAGAAAGAAAGAAAGAAACAAAAACCUAGCUACCCUAGCCAGAAAG
rnacentral:lncRNA from 1 species